UGGAUGGGUGAGGGGAGGGGGGGUGUUAAGGUGGGUCGCCGAAAACGGAGAUUCGACCUCAAACGGCGGGCUAGGAUCCGUCCCUGAUCCGACACAGAGACAGAACGGAGAGACGACCCACUGUGGCAGGGUGAGGCGUCGAGAGAGUCCUGUGAGGCGGCUGAGGACAGGGAGGAAACGGAGAGACGACCCACCGAGGGCUCGGUGCGUCGUCGAGAGAGUGCUGUGAGGCGGCUGAGGACAGGGAGGAAACGGAGAGACGACCCACUGAGGGCUGGGUGCGUCGUCGAGAGAGUGCUGUGAGGCGGCUGGGGACAGGGAGGAAAUUCAGAGACGACCUCACUGUGGCUCGGUGAAACCGUCGAGUAGAUCUUUCAGGUGGCUGAGGGCAGGAAGGAAAAGCAGAGACGAGGACUUGGGGGGGUAGGGGGUGGGGUUGGGCUCUGGAUGGGUGAGGAGAGGGGGGGUGUUAAGGUGGGUCGCCGAAAACGGAGAUUCGAACUCAAAAGGCGGGCUAGGAUCCGUCCAUGGUGUGGCACCAAGAGAGAAUGGCGAGACGACCCACUGUGGCUCGGUGUGGCGUCGAGAGAGUCCUGUCAGGCGGCUGAGGGCAGGGAGGAAACCGGAGAUGGGGGGGAGGGAGGUGCAAACCUGGACUGUUAGGCGAGCGGCUUACUCCCGCCGUUUACCCGCUGGACCUCGUCCAGUCUCCGGCAAUGCUCCGGCACAGAGAAUGCCUGGCCUGGCGUGACGGCCUGCUCCUGCCCGGUGUGUGGCGGUCGCGCCAGCAGUGUUUCUCGUGUAGCAUGCGAGCGUUGCCGGUGUCGUCGGGAGCCGGGAUAUGUUCUCGAACAAAGUUACCUGAGCGAGUGUGCCUUUCUCCCUGUCGUCAGCUCGGGUCUGGUCGAAUUGGGCCGGUGGCGCCGAAGAAGUUACCACCGGAGACCAGGGUCCAGUGGCUAGAGCCGGGCCCAACGGCUAUUGCCGAGUACCUUCCUCCGAUGCAGGAAGAAGGUGUGUUCAGUCCCGCGGAAAUCGUACGGCGGGUGCCGAAUUUACCAGUGGCCAGCCGGGUCCAGGAGCUAGAGCCGGAUUUGUCGGCUACUGCCGGGUAACCUACUUUGGAUGCGGGUGCUGGGGUGGUCGGCCCCGCGGAAAUCGGACGGCAGGCGCCGAAGAUACCAGCGGCGAGCCGGGUCCCGGAGCUAGAGCCGAGCCCAUCGGCUAUUGUUGAGUAGCCGUCUUUGCCGGCAGAGCUGGCGUUUUCAGUCUCGUCGAAAUCAGACGGCGGGCGCCGAAGUUAACAGCGGCUAGCCGGGCCCCAGAGCUAGAGCCGGACCCAGGGACUAAAGCCCAGCGGUGUGCUUCCGGUUGGGCGUUUGCGUUUUCAGUCUCGCGGAAAUCGGACGGAGGGCGCCGAAGUUACGUUUUGCCAGCCGGGUCCAGUAGCUAGAGCCGGGCCCGGGGACUAGAGUCCCGCGUCGGCCUCCGACCCAAGUGCUUCUGUUUUCAAUCUCGUCCAAAUCGGACGAGGGGUACGGAAACGGCACAACUUAACCCGGGUCCAGGGGCUAGAGCCGGGCCCGGCGACUAGAGUCCCGCGUCGGCCUUCGGCCCAAGUGCUUCCGUUUUCAAUCUCGUCCAAAUCGGAUGGAGGGUACCGAAACGGCGAAACGUAACCCUGACUCCCUUGCAAGUGCCUGGUCCGGUAACCCUAUUGUCCUUCAAGGCUCUCAGACCUGAAAGGAAUUGGGAGGCAAGUUCGGCAUUCUGGCCGAAAUCGAGCGCCGGAGUGUACCUUUUUCCAGAACUGGGACAUGGUACAUCAGGGGUUUUCGUGCUUAGACCACAGCACAGCGAGAGCUGGGCGACCAUUUGAGCUCAAUUUGCACGAAGUGACGACAUCACCUUGACCCAUUCGAUAUAUAUAGGGGAGACCUGGUGUCUGUGGCACCUUUCUCGUGGGUAACCUGCUGUCUUAGGGGACCAUGCGAGGGAGACUACUGACAACUACCUGCGUCUUGGCGACAUUCUAAGUCUCGUUGUUGCCAGAGGGAAGGAGCAAAUGUUUUCCAUUGUUUUGGUGCGUUGGCUACUUUCCCUUCCCCCAUUCCACGGUGCUGGUUCUCGGUUCCGGUGCGGUAGCGAACUGUUUGCCGCAGACGUUUACCGGAGUAAAUGGGGAACCAGCCUUUUACCUGUCGCGGGGUACAUAUGCCGAGGUAUUUGGAGUCCGGUGUGUGAGUGACCGACCAUUGCGUUCUGUUAGACAUACGUAACAUUAGGCGAAGGCGGCCCUCCUUGCACAUGUCGUGUGGUUCCAGAGCCAGGCAUCUCGGGUCCGGUGUGCGCGUGCGACCGAUCUUGUUCAUGUGUUAGACAUACGUAACAGUGGGCGAAGACGGUCGGCGAAACUCGCGCAUGUCGUGUGGUCCGAGAUGGCCUUCCAUGGACGUUAGAUAUAGCUAUAUAAAGGGGGAGACUCGGUGGCUGGCUGAACCUACUACCGGCGUCUUGGCGACAUUGUGUCUCGUUGUCGCCAGAGAGAAGGAGCAAAUGUAUUCCAUUGUUUUGGUGCGUGGGCUCCUUUCUCUUCCCCCACUGUUAGGGUGCUGGUUCUCGGUUCCGGUGCGGUAGCGAACUGUUUGCCGCAGACGUAUACCGGAGUAAUUGGGGAACCAGACGGUGUUUUGCCUGUCGCGGGAUUGGAUCACAGGUUCUGGGUUCCGGUGCGGUUGCGAACUGCUUCUCGUUCACCGGCGCCAAUGGGGAACCUGCCUGUCUGUCGCGGGGCAAAUGCCACAUAGGCUGAGGUAUUUGGAGUCCGGUGUGUGAGCGACCGACCAUUGCGUCUUGUUAGACAUACGUAACUUGCAGGCGAAGGCGGCCCUCCUCGCACAUGUCGUGUGGUUCCAGAGCCCAGGCACCUCGGGGUCCGGUGUGCGCGUGCGACCGAUCUUGUUCAUGUGUUAGACAUACGUAACAGUGGGCGAAGACGGUCGGCGAAACUCGCGCAUGUCGUGUGGCUCGAGAAUUGCCUUCAAUUCCUCCCUGGAGUGAGUAGUUUGUUUCGGCAGCAGCUCUCUCUCUCCACACAACCCCCCAUCAUCCUCCUUCCCGCAAGAGCAUGAUCCCGAUGCUCGAUGCAAACUGAGAACUGUCACUGCACACGCUGCGGCAUCUCGGGUCCGGUGCGCGAGGCGAACUUGCAUUCUGCUAGACAUACGUAGCAUUAGGCGAGAGCGCCCGUAAUCGCGCACGUCGUGAGGCUCGAGAGGCCUUCAAAGCAGCGCCUCUGUAUUGUGUCACGACGAUUCCUUCCGAUCUCCGUGCGAUCACUUCUCCAGCCUACGACUGCACAUCGAGUCAGCUAUCGAUCGGUCUGUGUGCAUGGGAACAGAGCACCAACCUUCUUCCAUGUCAUGGGAAGGCUGAACAAAAACACUGUGGCGUCGCCUCUCUCCACCAACGAGGAGGCGACAAACCACACGGCACCUCGGAUGCAUUUCCGACGGUUCCUUUCAUAUAAAAGGGGUGACGCCGAGGAAAAUAAGACUCGCGUCCCUACCAAAACGAAAAAGACCACCACCACCACCUACUCACUUACUACUGCUCCUCCUCCUGUUUUUCCAGCUUGCCGUGUUGAAUGACGACAAUGACGAGCAGGAGUAAUCUCGGCGGGGUAGUUAUGAUCGUUCGUCCACGCGGAGUAACUGCUCUCCUCCGCCUCUGUUCGUCUAACGUAUCGACAUAACGCCAUACUGUCGGGCUGCUAGAGAGUCCAUAGUGAGAUUUAACUUGCAAAGCAGGAUUAAAACGCAAAACCGAGGGGAGCGAGGGGUGUGUGUGUGUGUGUGUCUUGUGUACUAUAUAUCAGUAGUACUGUUGAGCUACCUGGUUGAUCCUGCCAGUAGUCAUAUGCUUGUCUCAAAGAUUAAGCCAUGCAUGUGUAAGUACAAGCCGAGUUAAGGCGAAACCGCGAAUGGCUCAUUAAAUCAGCUAUGUUUCAUUGGAUCUGUAAACCCACUUACUUGGAUAACUGUGGUAAUUCUAGAGCUAAUACAUGCAUCACGUCUCUGACCGCAAGGGAAGAGCGCUUUUAUUAGUUCAAAACUGGUCGGGCCUCGGUCCGUUAACCCACCCGUGGUGAAUCUGAAUAACUUUUUGCUGAGCGCACGGUCUCCGCACCGGCGCCGCAUCCUUCAAGUGUCUGCCUUAUCAGCUUUCGAUUGUAGGUUAUGCGCCUACAAUGGCUAUAACGGGUAACGGGGAAUCAGGGUUCGAUUCCGGAGAGGGAGCCUGAGAAACGGCUACCACAUCUAAGGAAGGCAGCAGGCACGCAAAUUACCCACUCCCGGCACGGGGAGGUAGUGACGAAAAAUAACGAUGCGAGACUCAUCCGAGGCCUCGCAAUCGGAAUGAGUACACUUUAAAUCCUUUAACGAGGAUCUAUUGGAGGGCAAGUCUGGUGCCAGCAGCCGCGGUAAUUCCAGCUCCAAUAGCGUAUAUUAAAGUUGUUGCGGUUAAAAAGCUCGUAGUUGGAUCUCAGUUCCGGACUGACGGUACACCGCCUGGUGCUUACUGUCACGCUCCGAACAGCUAACUAGCCCCGCCGGCUCGCACGGGGUGCUCUUCAUCGAGUGUCCCGAGUGGCCGGCACGUUUACUUUGAAAAAAUUAGAGUGCUCAGAGCAGGCUACUUUAAUGGCCUGAAUGUCUAUGCAUGGAAUAAUGGAAUAGGACCUCGGUUCUAUUUUGUUGGUUUUCGGAACCUGAGGUAAUGACUAAUAGGAACAGGCGGGGGCAUUCGUACUGCGACGCUAGAGGUGAAAUUCUUGGACCGUCGCAAGACGAACUACUGCGAAAGCAUUUGCCAAGGAUGUUUUCAUUAAUCAAGAACGAAAGUUAGAGGUUCGAAGGCGAUCAGAUACCGCCCUAGUUCUAACCAUAAACGAUGCCAACUAGCGAUCCGCCGGCGUUAUUCCCAUGACCCGGCGGGCAGCUUCCGGGAAACCAAAGUCUUUGGGUUCCGGGGGAAGUAUGGUUGCAAAGCUGAAACUUAAAGGAAUUGACGGAAGGGCACCACCAGGAGUGGAGCCUGCGGCUUAAUUUGACUCAACACGGGGAACCUCACCAGGCCCAGACACCGGAAGGAUUGACAGAUUGAGAGCUCUUUCUCGAUUCGGUGGGUGGUGGUGCAUGGCCGUUCUUAGUUGGUGGAGCGAUUUGUCUGGUUAAUUCCGAUAACGAACGAGACUCUGGCCUAUUAACUAGUCGACGGAUCUCCAGCAAUUGGUGUCCAGUUCGCAACUUCUUCUUAGAGGGAUUAGCGGCAAUUCUAGCCGCACGAGAUUGAGCAAUAACAGGUCUGUGAUGCCCUUAGAUGUUCUGGGCCGCACGCGCG